ensembl:lncRNA
AGUGGUUCACAGAUAAUGUUGCAGACACAAGUGGAUUAGCACAAUUCCAUGAUUUUAUAGAUUGACCAUUUUACAUCCUUUAAAGGAGCCAACCAUGUCUGACUAAUUCUGAGAAGGAGCAACAACCGUAUGCUGUUUCACUCAGGGAGCACCAAUGACCAACAAUUGUACCCUGCAGGAAACACUCAUGCCCGAGUGUUCCCCACAGGGAGCUCCCAUGCCAAGAUUGUUCACUCUAGGAUUAUCUGUACCUGCCUCUUCCACACGGAACCUUCGUGUUCAGAAAGGGCAAUCACCGUCUUCAUGUCUGUUCCAGGAGCGCCGGGAGUAUAAACCUCAAGCCUCCUUGAGACAGAGAGCACCCAGGUGUGUUAAGACCCCAGAGAGAUUAUCUGAGCUUCAGUGUUCCUCACAGGAAGCGCCCCUGUCUGAGGGUUUCUCAGGAACACCUGUGCUGGAGUAUUCUUCUCAAGGAACACCGGUUUCCAUAGAAUCCCUGCAGGGAGUAAACAUGCCUGCUCAGACCCCUCAGGGAGCACCUCUGCUUGAGAGUUUUCCAGAGGGAGGGCCAGUGUUCAAGUGUUUUCAAGAGGGAGCACCAAUGACCAUGUGUUCCCCACAGGCAGCUUCUGUGAUUGAGUGUUCCCCACAGGGAGCUCUGGGAUUAUCUGUACCCACCCUUCAUGUCCAGAAAAGGCGAUCACAGCCUUCAUGUCUGUUUCAGGAGCGCCGGGAGUAUAAGCCUCAAGCCUCCUUGAGACAGAGAGCACCUAAGCCUGUUAAGUUCCCACAGAGAUCACCUGUGCCUGAGUGUUCCUCAGAGGGAGCACCUGUGCUUGAGUGUUCCACUCAGGGAACUCAAGUUUCCACAGGAUCCCUGCAGGGAUUAUAUAUGCCAGCUGAGGCACCACAGGGAGAAUCUGUGCUUGCCGAUUUCCCAAAGGGAUGGCCAUUUUUCAAGUGUUCCCCAGAAGGAUCAUUCAUACCCAAGUGUUCCACACAGGGAGCAUAUGUGUCCAAAUGUUCCACACAGAGAGAAUAUGUGCACACCGGGAGCAUACAAGGAGCAAUGGUGCUUAAGUGUUCCCCACAGGGAGAACCUGUGUUUGGGUUGCCCCCAGCAGAACCGUUUAUUCCCAAAGGUUCCCCUCAGGGAGCAUUUUCCAAUCAUGGAACACCCAUGCCCAAGUUGUUUACCCUGGGAAAAUCUGUACCCAUCUUAUCCACAAAGAAGUACCAGUUACAUAAGUAUCGAACUUUCUUGAGACAGAGAACACACUUGUCUGUCAAGACCGCACAGAAAUCUCCUGUGCCUGAGUUUUCCUCACAGGGAGCACCUGUGACUGAAUGUUUCCCAAAAGAAGCACCCCUGUCUGAGUGUUUCUCAGGAACACCUGUGCUGGAGUAUUCUUCUCAAGGAACACCGGUUUCCACAGGAUCCCUGCAGGGAGUAUACAUACCUGCUAAGACCCCACAGGGAGCACCUCUGCUUGAGAGUUUUCCAGAGGGAGGGCCAGUGUUCAAGUGUUCGCCAGAGGGUUCAUACAUACCCAUGUGUUCUCCACAGGGAGCACCCAUGUCCAAGUGUUCGACACAGGGAGCCCCUGUAUUACAGGAAGAUCCUGUGUCUGGGUGUUUUCAAGAGGGAGCACCAAUGCCCAUGUGCUCCCCACAGGCAGCUUCUGUGACUGAGUGUUCCCCACAGGGAGCUCUGGGAUUAUCUGUACCCACCCUUCAUGUCCAGAAAGGGCGAUCACAGCCUUCAUGUCUGUUUCAGGAGCGCCGGGAGUAUAAGCCUCAAGCCUCCUUGAGACAGAGAGCACCUAAGCCUGUUAAGUCCCCACAGAGAUCACCUGUGCUUGAGUGUUACACUCAGGGAACUCCAGUUUCCACAGAAUCCCUGCAGGGAGUAUAUUUGCCAGCUGAGACCCCACAGGGAGAAUCUGUGCUUGCAAAUUUCCCAGAGGGAGGGCCACUGCUCAAGUGUUCCCCAGAGGGAUCAUUCAUACCCAAGUGUUCCACACAGGGAGCACGUGUGUCCAAAUGUUCCACACAGAGAGAAUAUGUGCACACCGGGAGCAUACAAGGAGCAAUGGUGCUUAAGUGUUCCCCACAGGGAGAACCUGUGUUUGAGUCGCCCCCAGCGGAACCGUUUAUUCCCAAAGGUUCCCCUCAGGGAGCAUUUUCCAAUCAUGGAACACCCAUGCCCAAGUUGUUCACCCUGGGAAUAUCUGUACCCGUCUUAUCCACAAAGGACAAACAGCUACAUAAGUAUCAAGCCUUCUUGAGACAGAGAAAACGCUUGUCUGUCAAGACUGCAAAGAAAUCUCCUGUGCCUGAGUUUUCCUCACAGGGAGCACCUGUGACUGAAUGUUUACCAAAGGAAGCACCCCUGUCUGAGUGUUUCUCAGGAACACCUGUGCUGGAGUAUUCUUCUCAAGGAAAACUGGUUUCCACAGGAUCCCCACAGGAAGUAUACAUGCCUGCUAAGACCCCACAUGAAGCACCUCUGCUUGAGAGUUAUCCAGAGGGAGGGCCGGUGUUUGAGUUACCCCCAGCGGAAGCGUUCACUCCCGAAGGUUCCCCUCAGGGAGCAUCUUCCAAUCAUAGAACACCCAUGCCCAAGUUGUUCACCCUAGGAAUAUCUAUACCCGUCUUAUCCACAAAGAAGUACCAGCUACAUAAGUAUCAAGCUUUCUUGAGACAGAGAACACAUUCAUCUGUCAAGACCGCACAGAAAUCUCCUGUGCCUGAGUUUUCCUCUCAGGGAGUACCUGUGACUGAAUGUUUCCCAAAGGAAGCACCCCUGUCUGAGUGUUUCUCAGGAACACCUGUGCUGGAGUAUUCUUCUCAAGGAACACUGGUUUCCACAGGAUCCACACAGGAAGUAUACAUGGCUGCUAAGACCCCACAGGAAGCACCUCUGCUUGAGAGUUAUUCAGAGGGAGGGCCGGUGUUUGAGUUACCCCCAGCGGAAGUGUUUACUCCCGAAGGUUCCCCUCAGGGAGCAUCAUCCAAUCAUAGAACACCCAUGCCUAAGUUGUUUACCCUAGGAACAUCUGUACCCGUCUUAUCCACAAAGAAAAACCAGCUACAUAAGUGUCAAGCCUUCUUGAGACAGAGAAAAUGCUUGUCUGUCAAGACUGCACAGAAAUCUCCUGUGCCCGAGUCUUCCUCUCAGGGAGCACCUGUGACUGAAUGUUUCCCACAGAAAGAACCCAUUCUUGAGUGUUACCCAGAGGAAGGACCCAUGAUUGUGUAUUCCCUGGAGGAAGAACCCAUGCUUGUGUGUUCCAUAGAUGAAGAACCCAUGUUUGUGUGUUCCCCAGAGGAAGAAUCCGUGAUUGUGUGUUCCCCAGAGGAAGAACCCAUGCUUGUGUGUUCCUCAGAGGAAGAACCCAUGCUUGUGAGUUUCUCAGAAAAAACUUCAGAGUCUGAGUUUUCUCCACAGGAAGCACUCAUGCUUGAGUCUUCCCCUCAGGGAGCAUCUUCCCCUCAUCAAAAACCCUUGCCUGAUGGCUUCCCUCUUGAAGCUUCCAUACCCAAGUUAGUCAGUCUGGCAAUAUCUUCACUCGUUUCUUCCAUAUGGAAGCGCCAGAAGCAUAAGUCUCAACCUUCCUUGAGACAGAGAACACUUUUACCUGCCAGGUCCUCACAGAAAUCACCUGUACCAGAGAGUUCUUCACAAGAUGCGGCCAUGCCUGAGUGUUCCCCUGAGGAAGCAUCCAUGACCACCGGGACCCCACAAAACUUGUCUUGUGACCAUCUUGACAAAGCUACAGUGGAGGCAACAGAACCCUGCAGGUCCCCAUAUAAUAAGGCAAGGAUGUCACAGGGAGUCUCCCAACCUGCCAAGGGUCAAAAAGAAGCACCCAUGCCUGAGUGUUCCUCAGAGGAAGAAGAACCCAUGCUUGUGUGUUACCCAGAGGAAGAACCCAUGCUUGUGUGUUACCCAGAGGAAGAACCCAUGCUUGUGUGUUUCUCAGAGAAAGCAUCCAAGCCUGAGUUUUCCCCACAGGAAGCCCUCAUGCCUGAGUCUUACCCUCAGGAAGUAUCUUCCCCUCGUCAAACACCCUCGCCCUCUGGCAUCCCUGAUGAAGCUCCCAUGCCCAAGUUAUUCAAUCUUGGAAUAUCUUCGCCCGUUUCUUCCACAAGGAAGCACCAGCAGGAUAAGUCUCAAGCUUCCUUGAAACACAGAAAGAAACUAUUGCCCGUCAAGUCCUUACAGAAAUCACCUGUGCCAGAGAGUUCUUCACAAGGAGCAGCCAUGCCUGAGUGUUCCUCUCAGGAAGCAUCCAUGCACACCGGGACCCCACAAAGCCUUUCUCUUCUUACAGUCCAUCUUGACAAAGCAAAGGUGGAGGAACCAUACAGGUCCUCAUUUAAUAAGGCUAGGACGUCACAGGGAGUAUCCCAACCUGCCAAGACUCUGAAAGAAACACCCAUGCCUGAAUGUUCCUCAGAGGAAGAACCCCUGCUUGUGUAUUCCCCGGAGGAAGAACCCAUGAUUGUGUGUUCCCCAGAGGAAGAACCUAUGCUUGUGUGUUCCCUGGAGGAAGAACCCAUGCUUGUGUGUUCCCUGGAGAGACUACCUGAGCCUGAGUUUUCCCCACAGGGAGCACCAACUCUGUCCCUUCAGCAAUACAAUAAAUGUGCUCCAUGCAAAAAACAGCACACAAUAAAAGAUGCGAAGGUACAGCAGAAGCCUCAAAGAAGGAGAAAAAAGAGGAACCAAAGGCAGCAGGCAAGACCUUGUCCGAGCUCCCAACCUAAUCUGAAAAGAAAAUAUGCAUGUAGCAGAAACAAACUGGACAACUUAAAUGUAUGUCAGCUUUCAAGGAGGAAAAAUACAAACAACAGAGGUCAACGCUUCUUUCACCUCAGAGCCUGUCCAUGCAGCCAUAUUUAUUUGAGAAGUCAGCAGUCGAGACAGCGAAACUCUUGUGCCCGUCAACCGCCAAAUGCAGACCAAAUGCAAAGAGCUCAUUGGAACCCUUACCCAAGAUCCUGUCCACGGUACCAACCCAGUUGGUGGAGACAGCAAAACCCGCAUACCCAUCAAAGAGGACCAAUGCAUCUGAGGCAAAGAACUGUAAGACUUCCCCCCAGAGCAUAUCCAUGGCCCAGGCAGUGGAACCCUCAUCGCCCUCAAUCACGACCAUCAGAUCUGGGACAAAGAGCUCAGAGAGCUCCCCCAAGAGCACAUCCAUGGUUCCAGCCAAGUUUGUGGAGGCAACAGAAUGUUUAUGCUUCUCAAUCACAACCACGGCAUCUGGGGCAAAGAGCUAUGAGGCUUCAUCCAAGAACAUAUCCAUGGUCCCAUCCCUAUUUUAGGAGGCAGAAGAACCCUCAUGCCCAUCAAUCACGACCAUCACAUUUAGGGCAAAGAGAACUGAGGGUUCAUCCAAGAGUGCAUCCUUCAGUCCAGCCCCACUUGUGGAGGCAACAGAAUGCUUAUGCCCCUCAAUCAAGACCAUGGCAUCUGGGGCAAAGAGCUCUGAGGCUUCACCCAAGAGCAUAUCUAUGGUCCCAUCCCCAUUUUUGGAGGCAGCAAAAUCCUAAUGCCUAUCAGUCACGACUAUCACAUCUGGGGCAAAGAGCUCUGAGGGUUCACCCAAGAGCCUAUUCAUGAUUCCACUCCAACUCAUGAGUCACCUAGUUCGUAAAAUAUUUGGUGACUAAAAGCCCCAACUGAAAACAUUUUUAUACUUUAGAAAAAUUUACAUUUAUUUUUAUAAUCUGUGCAUUUGUAAGAAAAUAUCUGUGCAUUUGUAAGGAAAUAUCUGCAUUUAUAAGAAAAUGUGCAUUUUUAUGAAAAUAUCUGUGCAUUAGUAAGAAAAUAUCUGUGCAUUUGUAAGAAAGUAUCUCUGCAUUUGUAAAAAAAUAAAUAAAAAUCUGUUAAUUUA